UGGGGAAUAUUGCACAAUGGGCGCAAGCCUGAUGCAGCCAUGCCGCGUGUAUGAAGAAGGCCUUCGGGUUGUAAAGUACUUUCAGCGGGGAGGAAGGGAGUAAAGUUAAUACCUUUGCUCAUUGACGUUACCCGCAGAAGAAGCACCGGCUAACUCCGGGCCAGCAGCCGCGGUAAUACGGAGGGUGCAAGCGUUAAUCGGAAUUACUGGGCGUAAAGCGCACGCAGGCGGUUUGUUAAGUCAGAUGUGAAAUCCCCGGGCUCAACCUGGGAACUGCAUCUGAUACUGGCAAGCUUGAGUCUCGUAGAGGGGGGUAGAAUUCCAGGUGUAGCGGUGAAAUGCGUAGAGAUCUGGAGGAAUACCGGUGGCGAAGGCGGCCCCCUGGACGAAGACUGACGCUCAGGUGCGAAAGCGUGGGGAGCAAACAGG
rnacentral:rRNA from 1 species